UUCUUUGUCAAACACGUAUUGUAAGCGUCAGGCAAUUUUUCAAUUUCUCAUCUCUCCCUGCUCUAUGUUGAAGACUCCUCUUGCUAGACUACAGAUCUCUUUUUAUUCCCUCUUCAUUUUCUUCCUUUGGUGUUGGAGUUUUGGAUUUAAAGCUGUGUAUAUUGGGUUGAUCAUUUCAGCUUUGUUCGUUCCCAACUCUCUUUUUUCUCACGAUUGUCUCUCGCCAUAUCUGACGAAGAAGUGAAGAACGCAAGUUUUCCCAGAGUCUGAAAAGUGCAGGUUCUGCUGAGAACCCAGCUGGCUCUGCGACCCUUCCUGCAAAUCGACUGUGAGUCCUUUUGGUUUUCCUUUCAACUUUCGCUUUCUCUUUGUCUACUUCUAUUUUGUCUAUGUAAUAGCCACCAUCUUAGUUCUUGUUAAUUUGACUGGGUUGUGCUUCUAAUAAUACCUCCGUGUGUCUCUUUUUUUCUUUUGAGAAAGUUCCGUUUAAUAAUUAGGUUCCAAGCGCCGCACAAGCCAAGUUGAUACCCUCAUACCCCCAAUGUUAAUGGUUAUGUAUUUCAGUAAGAAUUGAGAAUCUUUUUUUUGGGAUAGAAAAGGAUUUUCCUUGUGAGGCAUCUACAGGUGAAUUAGUUGGAAAUUUGACUGACAUAUGUUUUUUCUUAAAUACUAAGUUAGUUAUCACAGAAAAAUAUUGCUAUAGGUUAGAGAUAAUGGAAACGGCAAGGACGUGCGGACAGACAAUUUCACGAUUUAAGCACGUACUCCUCUUUUUUUUUAAGCUGUGGUAGCUUUUAGAUCACUUUUCAAAUUCUUUGACCUUGUUUGCAAGUAAAUAGAAGCCAUUGAAAAGUGUAACUUGCAUAAUACAAUUAUGUGAACUUAACUCGGCUUCUAUGUUCAUGAAAUGUGAAUCUAAAAAGCGAAAAUAGUUGUCUUCUUCUAAAGUUGGAUGAUAAAUAUCCGGAAAACUUAUUAAGAAAGGGAGUAAAUUCCAUCUCGAGUCAACAAAUGGAUGGCUCAAGCAUAAAAUUUAAGUCAAACUUGCCUUACAAAGAUUGAUCUCUAAACUUGAUGUUGCAAAAUAGAAACUUACAGGGAAGUUGUCCUUGGACAAGUGGGGGCAAUUGAAACAUUAUAAUAUGAAAUUUAAAUGAAGUAAAAAUUUCACAAUGUCGAAAGAUGAGAGGUUGUUGAAAGAAGAGAGAAAAUUGCAACGGGAAAUGACAUUAAUAGUAACAUUGCAGCCAUCUGCAUUCAUUAUUAAUACUAUGGGCCCGUACCUAUGUGAAUUCAUUAUUAAUACUAUGGGCCAUCUGCAUUCAUUAUUUUUUUUUUUUUGAUGAAGUAAGUAGAAUAUACCAUAAAAGGCAUCAGGAAGAUGCAAAAGUUACAAAAGAAGUGAGUUUGACAGCUCGUUUACAAUUAAGGCUACAAAACUAGAGAGCUGACAAAGUCCAAAAAAACAUCAGAGUUAUUUACAGUAGUAAGGUUAGCCCAGUGAAACAAAUUAAUCAAACAUCUAGCCUUUAAGCAACCUAUUGAAGUUGAUAAUCCAUCAAAAUAUCUACUAUUCCUUUCGACCCAGAUACACCAAAAAAUGCUUGCAGGUACCAUAUUCCAGACUUUCUUGAUGGUUUUGUCAGCUUCCCUUAAGCUCCAGCUCACAUAUUCCUCUCUGGCAUUGAAUGACAUAGUCCAGUGUAGACCAAAAAUGCUGAGAAACAUGUUCAUAUGUCUGUGGCUACUGAACAAUGGAGGAAACGAUGGUUAACAGAUUCUGAGUUCACUUGACACAUAUAACACCUGUUGGCCAGUUGAAAAUUUCUUCUGGUGAGGUCGUCUUGGGUGAGGCAUGCAUCUUUUAAGGCCAACCAGCUGAAGCAGCAGACUUCAUCAUUUGAAUCUACAUUCAUUAUUAAUACUAUGGGCCCAUGCCUAUGUGAAUUCGUUUUAGGGCCAUCUUGUAGGAAUACUGUAGUAGAUUCAAAUGCACCAGCAGUUCAGAGCUGUUCAGGAUAAGGGUCUUGAUGCUUUCAUUUAUUACUUGAGAUAUUGAUGUUGAUGAUGGGAGGUAAUACUUUACUUUUUUUUAUUUACUACAUUUGGAUAAGUAGUAGAUAUGUGAAAGAAGGUGCAGAUGAUGUUCUUUGGCUAUGGGUAGAGUUGGAGGCAUUGGGGAGUUUUUGCUAUGCUUUGUCAGAACUGAUGUGUUAGCAACCAUGGCUCACUCAAAGUUGUCAUGGCCGACUUUGACUGACGCCAUGACGAUAUUGGAAUUUUGUUCCACUUCUCUCCCCAUUGGUUUAACAUUCUGCUUUUCAGCAUUUACUUUGCAACAAGGUAUGAGUGACACAUUUUGCUUCUAUCGAUAAUUAGUGUGCGCUUGCGAAGUUAAAUCAUGAGUUUUGUGUUUAAGAAGCUAAACAAUUUAAGUUAUAUGUUAUUGAAACCUGUAGUAUUGUGUUGAUCUCUAAUUGUUGUUAUGUAGGGUUAUUAACACUUGGUAGGGGAAGUGCAACUUCUGGAGUGGCAGUCUGAUAGAUCACCCAAAUCACAUCAACUAAUUGGAUAUCGUGACAUUAAAAAGGAAAGCGGUAUUCAGAGACUACCUGUGCAUGAAUUCAUAUUAAAUAGAAGCCUAGACGACCAUUUUUCAGUAGUGUCUUUCCUACUCUUUCUUGCCAAAGGGACUGCAUUCAUUUUCUUGAACUGAUUCCUUGCAUAUUAUUGUAAGGUAAGGUCACCAGGGCAAUAAAAUUAGGCUUUACAAAUUGUCAAAAAUUAAUGAGUUGAUGGUGUUCUUACUAAUAUGUGUUACUCGAUGUAUUUAUAUGUGACUGAGGGGGGCUAUUUGCAUACCCUUAGUUGAUGAUUUAGCUUAAAUUGUUCAAGCAUAUUUCCUGUCAAAAAAUUUGUCCAAAUAUAUAUGAUUAAGCCCUUGAGUGGGAAGAAAAUAGUUUAAUGAAGACCAAGAGAAAUAUUUUCCAACUACAGUUAAGAGCCAGCAAUGAGUGCAAAAGUUAAUUUCUCACCAUAUUAGGUUUGUUUUGCCUGAGGAAUCAGGUUGUUAAAAUUAUUAGUUGGAUAACUUGCUUACUAAUCAACUGACUAUGUGAUAACCGAACGAAUGACUCCUUUGCAAUUAUUUUUCAUUCUCAUGGAAUAUCACCAAAUUUUUCUGUACACUGCAUAAGCUUUAUUGAAUUUGCAUUGGUUAGAUGGUUCAAGGUUUGCCGGUAAAGGCAGAGCAAAGCAUGAGGUCUUCUUAUUUGAUGGUUUACACUAAGCAGUAUGAGCCAAUAAUUUAAUAGAUUUCCUUUAUUUAAUAACUUAGAUGCAUUGGAACAUAUACAUUAAGGUGGUUUAAUUUGAAGAUGGAGAUCACUAUAACAGGAGAACAAACUACUCCUAUAUUAUAUGAGCUUUACUAUAUUAUUAAACCGAUCCUUUUCUGUCUGAAGAUUUCAGAGGAAUUAACAUGUUCUUUUAUUUUUUUUUUGGUCGAUAUGCUUUAAAGAGGGAAAAUAAAAAAUUAUUCAUCACUUACAGGGUCUUUCUUAUGCUAUUUAUAUGUCUGGUGUGCUUUAAAGAGUAAAAAUAAAAAAUAAACUAUCAGUAACAAGGUGCAAGUGAUGGCUCUGUGAACAUCUAUAUUUUAGUUUAUUUGUAUGUUUCAAUUUAAAGUAUGAUAAUGUGCAAAUGUGUCAAAUUAGAAUCUUACAUUUCAUUGAAUUAGAAUUUAGUGAUACAAAUGAAGGAUGUUCUACGUAUACAACUAAAGAUUUCUUAAUUUAUUAUCAGUAAACAUUGCUUUUGUGCCAUCGUCUAAUUUCAUUGGUCAAAUCUACUUAUACUUCUUAUAUGAUUUCUUUUACCAUUCAGGGGUUGCUUUCUUUGGAUUCUGCCAGUUAUAUAUCUGUAUGUCUUAAAUGUCAAACUUAAAGCUUGUCAACGUGAAAGUUCUUUGGGGCUUAACCAACAAGUACUUUUUUUUCUUAUGAUUACAAAGUUACUUCUUGUACAUACUGUUUGUGGAUGCUUUUAUACUUUAAUUUUUAAUGGUAAAAGGUAGAAAGUAUACUCAUCCCACGAGGAUGGUAAGCAAAAUAAUGGCUGAAAAUUGAGAGACACUCAAAGAGCAAACAAAGUUAUAUGUGGUAGCAAAUACCAAUAGAAAGACUUAUUUGUUAUCCCUGUAUUUAAAGAGAAUUGAUAAGGGAUGUCAUGCACCAAUGUUUUGAGUUGCGACAAAGAUGUGGCUAUUUACUGAUAUUCAUGAACUACAAGAUAAAAUAAACGUAAAUACUAAUUUAUUAUGUGAGUUUAUCACUUCCCGAUGAUUCAUAUAUAUGUAGAUCCAAUGUGUUGUGAGUUGAUGCUUCAUUGUCUCAAAUGCUUUCCCAUUCUCUUUGCAGCUUAUCUGCACUAUUUGCAGUGGUCUUGUUGUAUAUGUUCCUGCAAUAUCUCAGUUUGGACAAUUUGCUCUAUUUUUCCCUCCUCAGUCAUAUUGUGCGUUCCAAAAUACUUUUUGUUGCUGAUGAGAGUAAAGUGCAGGUUGUACAUAGCUUCUAUCUGAAGGUGGACUUCUGAUUCUUAUCAUGCAUGAUCUAUCUGGUAUUAUCCAUACAGUUCAAUUUGCUCUUUGCUCUUAUAUGACUGAACUUCUAAGGACCUCCCCUCUCCUGAGGAGUCCCAAUCCAAUGCAGAUCGUCAUCUCUUAGACUACUUUCUUCAUGCUCUAUAUGAAGCUUUUUAUCCACCUUUAUAAUUGUCAUGCAUCAUUAUGUCCUUUCUUAUUCCCUUUGUGCGCUUACACUUUAUUUGGGAGGAAUUCAAUCGUGAUUAAACUUCGAUGCAUUGGAUUUGUUGUAGGUUCGGAGUGAAUGAACAGGGCUGAAUGAAUUCGCUUUGGUGUAGAGUUGGAAUUCAUGAACUGGAUUCGGUACAUUGUUGAUGUAAGUCCGGAUCUCUUAUCUGUUCCCACUGUAGUUGUGGUUGUUGGUCUUCUGGUUGGUUCUAAUUUUAUGAAACUUCCACUUGGGAGAGAUAUAGCUAUUAAUCUCUGGUAGUUCUUUCAACAGAACGGGAUGUAUAUGGGUGCUACUCUAGAAAUUCUAUUGGAGAUUUCCAGGCCUCAUGUUUGUUUUAUGGUUCUAACUUGCUUAGAUCCUGAUUCAUCAAAAGGCUUCAUUACAGUAAUUAGUAAGCAUCCACCAUUCCUGCCACCUGGGCAGUUGUUGAAUCGAUCUCUCAAAGUGUAUGCAUGUUUGAAGCGAGGUAUAGUAAUAUGUGAUCAUCAAUUGCGCUUAUCUUUUUAUUCUACUUUAGCGUAUGCAUUUUCCCUUAAGAGGUUCCAAGUUCUGAGAGAGUUUUUGAAAUGUUAAGAAUGCAAAAUUGUUGUUACUAAGAUUUGAUCGAAGACAACAAGAAAGGCUGAGAAGCACACUUCACUAUUGAAAAAAGCUUUAGGAUUUACCGAUUUUAUCAAAGAAGAUUGACAAGAAAGAUCUUAUAUUUCUACAUCAGGCUGUUUUAGAAAUAGCUGAAGUUGGUCAUGUUGAAUUUACAGUGUCCAAGGAAUCAAGGAGCUCAGAGAUAUAGUACCUCUAUUUGUUACUUUAUCUCUAGAUAUGUUAAAAUCAGGAUUCUACGA